rnacentral:rRNA from 1 species
GAUGAACGCUAGCGGCAGGCCUAACACAUGCAAGUCGAGGGGCAGCACAGGUAGCAAUACUGGGUGGCGACCGGCGGAUGGGUGCGUAACGCGUAUGCAACCUACCAUUGAUUGGGGCAUAGCCCGAAGAAAUUCGGAUUAAUACUCCAUAAUAUUCAUCAAAGGCAUCUUUUAUGAAUUAAAGCUUUUGCGAUCAAUGAUGGGCAUGCGUGACAUUAGUUAGUUGGUGAGGUAACGGCUCACCAAAACGAUGAUGUCUAGGGGUUCUGAGAGGAUUAUCCCCCACACUGGUAUUGAGACACGGACCAGACUCCUACGGGAGGCAGCAGUGAGGAAUAUUGGUCAAUGGACGCAAGUCUGAACCAGCCAUGCCGCGUGCAGGAUGACGGCCCUAUGGGUUGUAAACUGCUUUUCCACGGGUAGAACCCUCCGACGUGUCGGAGACUGACGGUACCGUGGGAACUAAGCAUCGGCUAACUCCGUGCCG